GGCAAGAAGAGUGCUUUGAGAGCAGUUGAGAACCUCUUCAGGUAUCAUGAACAUGUUCUCCAACUGAAACGUGGCAGCAGUUCAAUAGCAGUUACACAACCGGAGGGGGUUUGCAGAGUACUGCAAGUCCCGGGAUUCAUAGGAACUUGUUUUAAUAGAGAGAAGACCUCGGGUUCCUCCAGAACUUCUCCCAUGAAUGUAAAUGAGGUCUCAUCUGCAGUACUGAAGAGGAAAUUUACUCCUAUUGUUGACACUGGACGGGAGGAUUAGAAUAGGGGACUUAAUAGGUGCUAGGCAGAGCACUGCCUUUGAAAAACUGCAGGCAGUCCAAGUACAGGAGAUUCCAGUUGUGGGAAAAUCCCCUUUGGGAAGGCACACUAACAAGAGAACUUGGUAAACAAAGGAAACACCAGUUGAGUGUGCUGCUUCUCAGCUACGUGCAGGCAUUUCUCUUCAGGUGGAAUGGCUUAAGGUGUCGCUUGAAGACCACAGAAUUAUUGCCAGACCACAUUCCUGUUUCUCUUGAGAUCAUAAAUGCGCUUGUAUGGUCCAGAGCCACCCAAGUAGCUUUAGUCUCAGUCAAGUGAGAGAAUAUUUAUUGAUUUAAAAAUAAGAGUACUUCUUGGUCCCCUUAAGUCCUGCAGAGCUAUUGGAGCAGUGCGCUGAAGGUCCCUGAUACAGGACGCAGCCAAAUGCUUUGCUGCAUGUAGCCUUCUGACUAGGGAGUGGCAGCUUGAGAAACCCCGAUGCCUGUAAGCAGCAAAAUCAUAGGGGAAGAGAUUUAGAGUUGUGGAGGAGUUUUCCUAAAGUGUUGUCUUUUAUAACUGCUCCGGAGAGUACUAACUUGUUACCUUAUAAUGUAUAUAAGAUUGCAGUUUAUAUGUACAUAAAUCAAUAAGCCAGGGGAAUCAAGGAAAAAUAGAGAAGCGUGUUGCUGAUGGGAUCCUGGGAUGGAGCAGCUGUUCCUUGUUGAGAACAAGUCAAAGCUCUCAUCCUUGAGCAGGUUCUUUGGCUGUGGGUUAACCCUGUCAGGAAUAUCAAAGCAUGUGACAUGCUUGGCCACAGAAGUUGGUACGUGUGGGGUCUCUCACAAGUUCCUGUCAACACUUCAGCAUUGCAGCUCUCCAGAAUGGAUAACGUUGCUGCCAUUCAUUCUGAGUGGCAUCGUGGCCUCAUUUACAUGGGUUUUACGCUAUCUCAGUUAUCUCAACCUUUUGCUACAGUCAGUUCUUCAUUAUCUGAAGGUAAAUUUAGGUACAAGUCAUGACAGGCAAGGUCCUUGGCUUGGAGUAUGCCUGCCUUCCUGUAGCACUCAGUCACACUCUGGUACGGGUGGAUUUUCCUCUUAG
rnacentral:lncRNA from 1 species